UCAUCAGGUUGACCUCCAGCUCCUCCGCUCCCCGCCGGUCCAAGUUUUCGGCCUCCGGUCUGUGCUCUCCGACGAAGGUGGCUCCGAUUCGGCGCGAGAUUCGUCGAGCUAGUCGAGAACAGAGGAGCUCGUGAUCGUGCGCGGCCUCGUGGAGGCGUAAUCGGCUGUCGAAAGAGGGACGUGAGGAAGGGCUUGAGGCAGAAUGUCUCGAUCUUCAAGCUUUCUUCUAGGUUUUCGAGCUCUACUCUCCACUAGCUCUCUUUACACCCCCUCGCUGCUUGCUCCAGCAGCUAGUGGCUACGUUUUCGGCUGCUUGCGGAGCUUUUCAGCUAUGGAGACCGACGAAGGGUCGCGGCACGUGCUUCCCUUUUAGCUUCAGUUCGACAAGCCGCUGGCUUCUCAUAUGAAGAUGGCGGAGUGGAAUCCGGAGAAGGAUUUGCAGGUGAUGGUCAAGAAGGACUCGAAGGUGGUGCUUCAUCGCUUCAAUUGGCGAAGCUCGAGAAUGUUCUCCUUUUUUUUGCUUAUUCAAUAUGUUCGUUUCUUCGACGAUGGCUUGGUGUGCGUGCCCUUUGAGUCAUCGGCCUUGUUGUUGUUGUUUAUGAAAUCACUUUUCGUUGCACAUUCCAUUGUAUGUCGUUAUACUGGAUUAUCAUAACUAUUCUAAUGUACUCCAGGUAAAUGUAUAACAUCAUUAUGCUGGCAUCCUGAUGGCAAAGUUAUUGCCUUGGGACUAGAAGAUGGUACGGUUUCACGUUGAAAAUGGGAACUGUUAAGAUGAUUGAAGUCCCAUGUGGCAGUUCUGUGGUGUGUCUCAAUUUGGAGGAGGAUGCCCAAGUGAAUACAGACACUUCUGGCAACUCUCUGACAUUUGAAGAUCACACUACUCAUUUCUUCCCUCCAGCUCCAAGAGUUCCUCGCAUGCCUGGCCUAGCACCUGGAAACUGGUUUAACUGACGAUGGUCAAGAUUCAUUCGUAGAGCUCUCAAAUUCUUCCAAGCAAUGUUUGAAUAUGCUUUGCCAUGGAGAUAAAGAUGGGGCUUUGUGCUUCAGUAUAUUUGGUGUCUUUCCAAUCAGAAAUGUUGUAAGCCUUCUGUCUGGUCAGAUCAAACAUUUAGCUAUAUAUUCUAUCAGAUUCAGUCAAUGACUACAUCUUUCCUUUCUUGCUUCCA